UUUCCGUAGGUGAACCUGCGGAAGGAUCAUUACAGAGCGUGAGACUCUGCCCGGGCGUGCCCCGCGCGCAGAGUCGACCCUCCACCCGUGUUGACUUAUCUCGUGUUGCUUUGGCCGGGCCGGGCUUCGCGUCCGCCGGCCCUGCGGCUGGAGCGUGUCCGCCAAAGACCCAACCUAACUCGUGGUAUCGUGUCGUCUGAGGAAAGAAUAUUGAAUCAUUAAAACUUUCAACAACGGAUCUCUUGGCUCUGGCAUCGAUGAAGAACGCAGCGAAAUGCGAUAAGUAAUGUGAAUUGCAGAAUUUAGUGAAUCAUCGAAUCUUUGAACGCACAUUGCGCCCCUUGGCAUUCCGAGGGGCAUGCCUGUUCGAGCGUCGUCACACUCCCUCACGCCGCACCGUGUGUGUGGCGUGGUGUUGGGGCUCGCCUGUUCGGCGGCCCUUAAAACGAGUGGCGGUGCCGUCGUGGACUCUACGCGUAGUACUUUUUCUCGCGACAGGGCGGCGGCGGUGACUGGCCAGCAAGUCCAUUUUUCUGGAAGACCUCGAAUCAGGUAGGGAUACCCGCUGAACUUAAGCAUAUCAAUAAGCGGAGGAAAAGAAACCAACCGGGAUUACCUCAGUAACGGCGAGGUGAAGCGG
rnacentral:rRNA from 1 species